rnacentral:rRNA from 1 species
GACGAACGCUGGCGGCGUGCUUAACACAUGCAAGUCGAACGGAAAGGCCCUGCUUUUGUGGGGUGCUCGAGUGGCGAACGGGUGAGUAACACGUGAGUAACCUGCCCUUGACUUUGGGAUAACUUCAGGAAACUGGGGCUAAUACCGGAGAGGAGCUCCUGCUGCAUGGUGGGGGUUGGAAAGUUUCGGCGGUUGGGGAUGGACUCGCGGCUUAUCAGCCUGUUGGUGGGGUAGUGGCUUACCAAGGCUUUGACGGGUAGCCGGCCUGGGAGGGUGACCGGCCACCUUGGGACUGAGAUACGGCCCAGCAUCCUACGGGAGGCAGCAGUGGGGAAUAUUGCACAAUGGGCGGAAGCCUGAUGCAGCAACGCCGCGUGCGGGAUGACGGCCUUCGGGUUGUAAACCGCUUUCGCCUGUGACGAAGCGUGAGUGACGGUAAUGAGUAAAGAAGCACCGGCUAACUACGUG